rnacentral:rRNA from 1 species
UGGGGAAUAUUGCACAAUGGGCGCAAGCCUGAUGCAGCGACGCCGCGUGGGGGAUGACGGCCUUCGGGUUGUAAACCUCUUUCACCAUCGGCGAAGCCAGAUGCUUUUGUUUCUGGUGACGGUAGGUGGAGAAGAAGCACCGGCCAACUACGUGC